rnacentral:lncRNA from 1 species
AUUUAUUAUAUAUGGAGAGUGUUAUUGUAAAAUUAUUACAAAACAAAAUAAAUGCAUACGAAUUCCAAAAAAACACACAUAAAUUAAGUAAUCUCGUCUCAUGGCGGCUCUUCAACUUGAACUUCAAGUUCAAACCUGUUUAACAGAAUAACACCCAACACGAGAUCAUAGCGUAAUAUUAACAAAUAGAUAGAAGACAUAAAAGCUAUUCACAACAAACACACGAAUUUCACCAAGCCAUGUAAAAUCACACAUCGAAAUAAGGGGAUAAGGAAACUAGACUGGAUGCUUUCUCUUAUUUAUUUCGACACUAAUGAAGGAACUAACCAGUUAUGCAGAAUUAUUUAUCAGCAAUGAAGACCCAGUUUGAUUCUAUAUUAGACCCGAACACAGCAAAAUCGAGUAAAGCAGCACUUGGAAUAUUCACCGGAAUCUUUAAACUUUCAGAGUAGAGAGUAUUUUAUGCUCUGGUUAGAAUGGGUAAAAACAUCUCUAAGUGUGAGGGCAGAGGUCUGAUUAUAUAGUUGAUGGGGAAGUACAACGCUAAAGGAAAUGAAUAAAUUUAAGGAGACAAAUAACUUAUUAUUUUCCUUAUUCAAAGGGAGUAUAAAAUUGGUUUUAAUUUAAUUUUACCAAAUAUAUGAGCAACUAAAUAUGACAAGGAGAUAAUUAACAGUUAAAUAAUGAGCACAGCUAGCGCAUAAAAGCAGUAAUCCUCAAUCAAGUAUUCACCAAAUAUUAGAUUACCAUAAAUAAAUAAGUAAGAAUCUAUUUGAAUUAUAAUUACGCCAAGGGAAUCAAUCACUACAUUAAUAUACACAAAUUGACAGAAUAAACAUCUAAGGAAAAGAAUAAUCUUGGGACCAAAUUAUGCACUACCAAUUCCUUAUCCGAAGGAAGUAAAAAUCAGUCCACAAGCAAAGGAAACAAAAAAUACAAUCAACACUUACCAAGGAUAUAACAUGUGGGAAAUCUGCUUAGGACAAUAAUUAAGGGAGGAGGGAUCAAUUUACAACAACUAUUAAUUAAUAGCAUAUAAAAUCAUUCACUAAAAAAAUAUAAGGAAAUUAGUUCAUGUUAUCAUUUAUUGAUUUAAGACUUACUAUAUGCAAUUUUCAAAAUCAAGGAAUUCAAUUAGGUUAACCUGUAAGUAAGCUAUAAUAUCUCAACUAAUAAUGUUAUUUAACAAACAACUAAAGGAAAUACAAUUAUAAGCAUAACAAAUACCAUAUGCAAAUCACAUACAGAUUCCAAAGCGUAUCAUUAGUACAUCCAUUUAUGCUCUAAUUGAUUCUAAACAAGUUUGCUUCUAAAUUGAAUUAGACUGAGAAGCAGAAUCGAUUUAGGGAGUGGAACAAACUAAAAUCAAUGAACUAUAUAUCAAGAUUAACAAAUAACUAAGCGAUAACGGGCAGAUUUGAGCAAAUAUAGGGUUUUCAUAUUAAUUUUAGAAUAAGAAUCACAAAUGAUUAUUAAUUUUCGUACAAAGUAAGCAUACAUACAAAUACUUCUACAUCAGAAAAAUCAGAAACCAUAUUGCAACUAAGAAAGACGAAUAAAAUAGAUAAAAGAUGAGACAAUAAUUUUAAAGAAAUGUACCCGGACAGAUCUGAAUAGAUCUGUCUAAAUUUAUCUUCACCGGAGAUUGAUGUCGCUGCUGGUUGCUUGUCGUCGGCGUUGCUGGUGGCCUCGAGUUCUCACCGGAAAAGAGGAGAGG